rnacentral:rRNA from 1 species
CAAUAGCGUAUAUUAAAGUUGUUGCGGUAAAAAAGCUCGUAGUUGGAUUUCUACCGAAGAUAGCCGGUCGGGUCUUCGACCUUGUAUCUGGUUUUGUCUUUGGUAUCCUCAUAGGGAACGUUUCUGCGCUUUAUUGCGUGGUGCGGUAUCUAUGACUUUUACUUUGAGGAAAUUAGAGUGUUAACGGCAGGCAAACGCCUUGAAUAUAUUAGCAUGGAAUAAUAACAUAGGAUCUUCGUCCUAUUUUGUUGGUUUCUAGGGCUAAGAUAAUGAUUAAUAGGGAUAAUUGGGGGCAUCUGUAUCAACGCGUCAGAGGUGGAAUUCUUGGAUUGCGUUGCGACAAACUACUGCGAAAGCAUUUGCCAAGGAUGUUUUCAUUGA